CGAAACCAAGAAAUAACCCCUUAUGUGCGAAAUUAUAGAAGAUCCCCUUUAAGAUCAAACAAUUCCAGCAAAUUGAGUAUGAUUGUAUGUGUGAUAGCCUCUACUAUACCGGGAAUAUCAAUGAACCCCAUUCUUGCAAUUGCUCAGGAUACCCUCUUUUAG
rnacentral:rRNA from 1 species